rnacentral:rRNA from 1 species
GAUGAACGCUGGCGGCGUGCCUAAUACAUGCAAGUCGAGCGAACGGACGAGAAGCUUGCUUCUCUGAUGUUAGCGGCGGACGGGUGAGUAACACGUGGAUAACCUACCUAUAAGACUGCGAUAACUUCGGGAAACCGGAGCUAAUACCGGAUAAUAUUUUGAACCGCAUGGUUCAAAAGUGAAAGACGGUCUUGCCGUCACUUAUAGAUGGAUCCGCGCUGCAUUAGCUAGUUGGUAAGGUAACGGCUUACCAAGGCAACGAUGCAUAGCCGACCUGAGAGGGUGAUCGGCCACACUGGAACUGAGACACGGUCCAGACUCCUACGGGAGGCAGCAGUAGGGAAUCUUCCGCAAUGGGCGAAAGCCUGACGGAGCAACGCCGCGUGAGUGAUGAAGGUCUUCGGAUCGUAAAACUCUGUUAUUAGGGAAGAACAUAUGUGUAAGUAACUGUGCACAUCUUGACGGUACCUAAUCAGAAAGCCACGGCUAACUACGUG